rnacentral:tmRNA from 1 species
GGGGCUGACUUGGAUUUCGACAGAUUUCUUGUCGCACAGAUAGCAUGCCAAGCGCUGCUUGUAAAACAGCAACAAAAAUAACUGUAAACAACGCAGAUUACGCUCCAGCUUACGCUAAAGCUGCGUGAGUUAAUCUCCUUUUGGAGCUGGACUGAUUAGAAUUUCUAGCGUUUUAAUCACUCCAUAACCUUAAGCUAGACGCUUUUAAAAGGUGGUUCGCCUUUUAAACUAAGAAACAAGAACUCUUGAAACUAUCUCAAGGUUUUAGAAAGUUGGACCAGAGCUAGUUUUAAGGCUAAAAAGCUAACCAAUUUUCUAAGCAUUGUAGAAGUUUGUGUUUAGGGCAAGAUUUUUGGACUGGGGUUCGAUUCCCCACAGCUCCACCA